rnacentral:rRNA from 1 species
AACGAACGCUGGCGGCAUGCCUAACACAUGCAAGUCGAACGAGACCUUGGGUCCAGUUGCGCACGGGGGCGUAACGCGGGGGAAACUGCCCUUAGGUUCGGAAUAACUUCCCGAAAGGGGUGCCAAUACCGGAGAAUGUUUUCGGACCAAAGAUUUAUCGCCUUUGGAUGGGCCCGCGUUGGAUUAGCUAGUUGGUAGGGUAAAAGCCUACCAAGGCGACGAUCCAUAGCUGGUCUGAGAGGAUGAUCAGCCACACUGGCACUGAGACACGGCCCAGACUCCUACGGGAGGCAGCAGUGGGGAAUAUUGGACAAUGGGCGAAAGCCUGAUCCAGCAAUGCCGCGUGAGUGAUGAAGGCCUUAGGGUUGUAAAGCUCUUUUCCCCGGGAUGAUAAUGACAGUACCGGGAGAAUAAGCUCCGGCUAACUCCGU